CGCGUGAAAGGGCCAACGCUGUCGUGACUAAUCAAUGUGGACACGCCAAGUGAUGGACUUCCCACUGAUCACAUUUAUCCCUCCUCCCCACGGACAUUUGUUUCUUCUUGUUGUUGUCUCAAUUCUGACUUGAAAAGUUAACACAGAUACUGCCUGAGCCCGGGUAUCCCACUAUUUCUUACAGAUUUCUGAGGUGUUUUUAUUUUGUUUGUUUGUUUUCUGAAUUUAAUUUGCCAGUAAGUAGUUUGAUUUCACUUAAAGCCCGAUUUACGUGAGCAGCGACAUGAGCAAAAAAGAAUGAGACUCACACGUCUCCGACCACCGGCGGCGCCUGACCCCCUUUUCCUCGGCCAACAAAUGACAGUCUCCCGAAGCAAAAAGCCUCUGGAGCUAUCCGAGAACCCGAGCUGGGCAAAACCAGCAGAAAUGGAAGGGAUUUUUCGUCAUUCCCAAGUUAUCCAAAUGUAAAAGUUGAAGUAUCAUAAAAUCUAUUUCUGUUCA